GAGAGGAGCUUGCUCUUCUUGGAUGAGUUGCGAACGGGUGAGUAACGCGUAGGUAACCUGCCUUGUAGCGGGGGAUAACUAUUGGAAACGAUAGCUAAUACCGCAUAACAAUGGAUGACACAUGUCAUUUAUUUGAAAGGGGCAAUUGCUCCACUACAAGAUGGACCUGCGUUGUAUUAGCUAGUAGGUGAGGUAACGGCUCACCUAGGCGACGAUACAUAGCCGACCUGAGAGGGUGAUCGGCCACACUGGGACUGAGACACGGCCCAGACUCCUACGGGAGGCAGCAGUAGGGAAUCUUCGGCAAUGGGGGCAACCCUGACCGAGCAACGCCGCGUGAGUGAAGAAGGUUUUCGGAUCGUAAAGCUCUGUUGUAAGUCAAGAACGAGUGUGAGAGUGGAAAGUUCACACUGUGACGGUAGCUUACCAGAAAGGGACGGCUAACUACGUGCCAGCAGCCGCGGUAAUACGUAGGUCCCGAGCGUUGUCCGGAUUUAUUGGGCGUAAAGCGAGCGCAGGCGGUUUGAUAAGUCUGAAGUUAAAGGCUGUGGCUCAACCAUAGUUCGCUUUGGAAACUGUCAAACUUGAGUGCAGAAGGGGAGAGUGGAAUUCCAUGUGUAGCGGUGAAAUGCGUAGAUAUAUGGAGGAACACCGGUGGCGAAAGCGGCUCUCUGGUCUGUAACUGACGCUGAGGCUCGAAAGCGUGGGGAGCGAACAGGAUUAGAUACCCUGGUAGUCCACGCCGUAAACGAUGAGUGCUAGGUGUUGGAUCCUUUCCGGGAUUCAGUGCCGCAGCUAACGCAUUAAGCACUCCGCCUGGGGAGUACGACCGCAAGGUUGAAACUCAAAGGAAUUGACGGGGGCCCGCACAAGCGGUGGAGCAUGUGGUUUAAUUCGAAGCAACGCGAAGAACCUUACCAGGUCUUGACAUCCCGAUGCUAUUUCUAGAGAUAGAAAGUUACUUCGGUACAUCGGUGACAGGUGGUGCAUGGUUGUCGUCAGCUCGUGUCGUGAGAUGUUGGGUUAAGUCCCGCAACGAGCGCAACCCCUAUUGUUAGUUGCCAUCAUUCAGUUGGGCACUCUAGCGAGACUGCCGGUAAUAAACCGGAGGAAGGUGGGGAUGACGUCAAAUCAUCAUGCCCCUUAUGACCUGGGCUACACACGUGCUACAAUGGUUGGUACAACGAGUUGCGAGUCGGUGACGGCAAGCUAAUCUCUUAAAGCCAAUCUCAGUUCGGAUUGUAGGCUGCAACUCGCCUACAUGAAGUCGGAAUCGCUAGUAAUCGCGGAUCAGCACGCCGCGGUGAAUACGUUCCCGGGCCUUGUACACACCGCCCGUCACACCACGAGAGUUUGUAACACCCGAAGUCGGUGAGGUAACC
rnacentral:rRNA from 1 species